rnacentral:lncRNA from 1 species
UUUGGCACUUCCAUCUCCCAGGAUCACGACUUUGUCUCUCGGUGGAGCAGUGGCUCCUGGCUGAGCCAUCGUAGGAAGAAAAUAUCCUGCAAAACAAGCAGAGAUGAUAUAGGUGUAGGGGAUGCCUUGAGCCUCAAUUGCUCUGCGGAUUUUAGCUUUUUCGGCAAAGUUAGUUUUUGCAGGCUCCACGACAUUUGUACGAUCCACAUCAUUUCCGAACUCUGAGGGAAUGAAUCUCUGUAAUCAUGAGCGAAAGCAAGGCACAUCAAAAAAAAUAAUUCAGGAGUGGAUUAGAAAAUAUUGGGAAAUAUAGGCGAACCUUGACGUUUCCAGCUUCUUUAAUAGCAUCAAGAAUCUUGGAUUGAUCAAGUAUCUGUCCGAAAGUCACCGCUGAGAUGACCACGUCCACUUGCUUAAUGGCCUUUACUAAACUCUCAUGAUCAUGGAGAUCUCCCUGCACAUACCAAAUGAAAUUCAACUAUAUACAAAUAAACAUGUUCAUUUGUGGACAGUCGAUUUUAACAUAAAUUGGCCUUACAUAGACGACUGUAACUCCGGAGNUGGCGCACUAUGUAACUCCAUACAAGGAGUCACUCUCCGGAAUGUUGGCCGACAUAUGUAUGCCACAACAUAAUGGCUGUAGACCUCCAAAAUCAUAAACUGAUAUAUUUCGACAAAAUCAGUGUAAAAAAGACAAGCCAAUAAGCCAUACUUUGCGAUCAAUGGUUCAAUGUCACACAUAAAGUGUAAACAACAUCAACAUAAAAACAUUAUAAACUCAAAUAAAGAUAACAUACCAAACCAUGAGCAGGCUGUUUUAUAUCCAGUACUGACACUACUAGAGAACUACAGAGUACAAAGCGCACACACGCAUCCUUUAUUUAUUUUACUAAGAAACAUGACAAGUAGAUCAUCAUAGUAUUAUGAAUGAAGCUCAAACAAACUGCUGGAGGUAUUCGUCAACGGUUGUGUACUUGACAUCAGGGUAGAGCUGAGAAGCCUCGUGUCCAAAUGAAGCCUCUAUCUCGAAAUUGGUUUGAUCUCCCUUAACAAAUACCGCAUGGCUGAUUGAAAUUAUCAAAUUCAUCGGUGGUGCUGACCCUGCAAAAUUACAUAAAAAAACCACAAACAAGUUCGGAUCAUGUUUCUGAUGCACUGAUAAUUUGGUAGUCGUUUGAUGGUUCUAGCUCUGUUGUCAUGUUAUUUCUAGAGGCUACUCACCUUGGAUUUGGUUUAGAACAUGCUCCUCUGGAACAUGAAUCUUUUCAAGAACCUUGUCGAUCUUCUUCUCCCACAAGGUAACUAGAUCGUUGAAGGAGUGGAUAUUGUGAGGAGGCUUGAUGUAGAGGGACUUGUUAACGGUUCUCGGGUCGUCCACUGUUUUAAUAGUGUAGGUGGCAAUAUCUUGUUCCAAGUUAAACACAGCUGCAACCCAGGAGAAACAGAAUUAUAGCCUUUCCCAAAUCAUGUUUAUUGAUACCUAAAGUCAUAAAGAAAAUAUUAGACAGAGUCACGGUACCUUUGGCACUUCCAUCUCCCAGGAUCACGACUUUGUCUCUCGGUGGAGCAGUGGCUCCUGGCUGAGCCAUCGUAGGAAGAAAAUAUCCUGCAAAACAAGCAGAGAUGAUAUAGGUGUAGGGGAUGCCUUGAGCCUCAAUUGCUCUGCGGAUUUUAGCUUUUUCGGCAAAGUUAGUUUUUGCAGGCUCCACGACAUUUGUACGAUCCACAUCAUUUCCGAACUCUGAGGGAAUGAAUCUCU